rnacentral:rRNA from 1 species
GAUGAACGCUGGCGGCGUGCCUAAUACAUGCAAGUCGAGCGAACAGACGAGGAGCUUGCUCCUCUGACGUUAGCGGCGGACGGGUGAGUAACACGUGGAUAACCUACCUAUAAGACUGGGAUAACUUCGGGAAACCGGAGCUAAUACCGGAUAAUAUAUUGAACCGCAUGGUUCAAUAGUGAAAGACGGUUUUGCUGUCACUUAUAGAUGGAUCCGCGCCGCAUUAGCUAGUUGGUAAGGUAACGGCUUACCAAGGCAACGAUGCGUAGCCGACCUGAGAGGGUGAUCGGCCACACUGGAACUGAGACACGGUCCAGACGCCUACGGGAGGCAGCAGUAGGGAAUCUUCCGCAAUGGGCGAAAGCUUGACGGAGCAACGCCGCGUGAGUGAUGAAGGUCUUCGGAUCGUAAAACUCUGUUAUUGGGGAAGAACAAAUGUGUAAGUAACUAUGCACGUCUUGACGGUACCUAAUCAGAAAGCCACGGCUAACUACGUG